GUGGGGAAUCUUCCGCAAUGGACGAAAGUCUGACGGAGCAACGCCGCGUGAGUGAUGACGGUCUUCGGAUUGUAAAGCUCUGUUAAUCGGGACGAAAGAGCUCUGUGUGAAUAAUGCAGAGAAGUGACGGUACCGGAAUAGAAAGCCACGGCUAACUACGUGCCAGCAGCCGCGGUAAUACGUAGGUGGCAAGCGUUGUCCGGAAUUAUUGGGCGUAAAGCGCGCGCAGGCGGGUUUUUAAGUCUGUCUUAAAAGUUCGGGGCUUAACCCCGUGAGGGGAUGGAAACUGGAAACCUAGAGUAUCGGAGAGGAAAGCGGAAUUCCUAGUGUAGCGGUGAAAUGCGUAGAUAUUAGGAAGAACACCAGUGGCGAAGGCGGCUUUCUGGACGAAAACUGACGCUGAGGCGCGAAAGCCAGGGGAGCAAACGGGAUUAGAUACCCCGGUAGUCC
rnacentral:rRNA from 1 species